GCAAGACUAGCUCAGUCGGUUAGAGCGCUGGUUUGUGGAGCCAGAGGUCGUUGGGUUCGAGCCCCACGUCUUGUGCCA
rnacentral:tRNA from 1 species